rnacentral:lncRNA from 10 species
AGGUCAUAUACCAGUUAAACUGCCCCAUUUUGCCUCUUAGUGUACAUUGUGAGCCCACUCAACCAGUUCCUGAGAUACUACUGGGAAGCUGCUGAUCACCAGUUUCAGGUUUUUUCCAUCUGUUGGGAAACUGCCUAUCCCUUGUGCUCGCUGCAACCAAUUAUUAUUUUAGGGAGACAGUUAACCGCCUGACCAUCACCCGAUGAUCGCCUGAUGUUCAUGCAUCCAUGACUACAUAAACUUUUUGGCCGUUUGACCAAAUGGGGACAUCUGGCAUACUGCUAUCAACCAAUAUAAAACUACUGGAGGGUGGUUCCAAGAUGGCCAAAUAGGAACAGCUCCAGUCUACAGCUCCCAGCAUGAGUGAUGCAGAAGACGAAUGAUUUCUGCAUUUCCAACUCAGUUCACAGAUCUUCAACUCCAGAGAACUGAGUUUAAGGAGCUGUACCUGGGAAAUUGUGCCUGAAGCUGUUCCUGAGGAAUCUGCACCUGGAUCUAAUGUACAUGCUGAGAU